rnacentral:rRNA from 1 species
UACGUAGGGUGCGAGCGUUGUCCGGAGUUACUGGGCGUAAAGCGCACGCAGGCGGUCUGCGAAGUUUGGAGUGACAGUUGGUGGCUCAACCACCAAAGUGCUUUGAAAACUGACAGACUUGAGGGCUUCAGAGGGACACGGAAUUCCGGGUGUAGCGGUGGAAUGCGUAGAGAUCCGGAAGAACACCGGUGGCGAAGGCGGUCUGCUGGGCAGUAGCUGACACUGAGGCGCGACAGCGUGGGGAGCAAACAGG